UGGGCAGAAAAACUAAGCAUGAUUUGGGGU
rnacentral:piRNA from 1 species